rnacentral:rRNA from 1 species
GCGCGAAAACUUUACAAUGCACGCAAGUGUGAUAAGGGAACUCUAAGUGCUUAUACACAGUAUAGGCUUUUGCCAAAUGCAAAAAGUUUGGCGAAUAAGUGGUGGGUAAGACGGGUGCCAGCAGCCGCGGUAACACCCGCGCCACGAGUGGCAAUCGAUUUUAUUGGGCCUAAAGCGUCCGUAGCUGGUCUGGAAAAUCUCUUGUGAAAAUGUUGAGCUUAACUUAACAAAGUGCUGGAGACACUUCCAGACUCGGAACCGGUAGGGGUCAGAAGUAUGUUAGGGGUAGCGGUAAAAUGUUAUAAUCCCUAAUAGACUACCUGUGGCGAAGGCGUCUGACUAGGACGGAUUCGACAGUGAGGGACGAAAGCCAGGGGAGCGAUCCGG